UUCGCCCGGGUCGGACGGCAGUGAGCGCCGGCGUCGGCGCCGAACCCGGCUCGAGGCGUCGUGGAAUUAAUCGGCGUUCUCUGCCCAUGACAAUCCAAGAUGAAUAAAACAGGGGAAAACUUCUUCAAAUUGGGAUCAAGAAAGCGCAAAAAUACCUCGUAUUCUGACUUCAUAAAGGCCGACCAGCCGGGCAAGGCAUGAUGGAGAUCCGGCCACCGGUUCCGGCGGGGCGGCGCCGCCACCGCCGGCCGCCGCCGCUCUGGCUGCUGCCACUGCUGCUGCCCUGCGCCGCCGCCAUCGACUGCUUCCGGUGUAGCUCCUUGAACGGCUCCAGCCCGCGUUGCCAGGACCCGUUCCACAACAACUACACGGACCUGCUAGUCUCCAACUGCAUGGGUGGCAGAAAAGGAAGGAACGGCGUGUUUCCUGCCAGUGCCUGCGUUAAACUCUCUGGAUCCUACAG